rnacentral:rRNA from 1 species
AAUUUGAAAUCUGGCCCUCCCGGGGUCCGAGUUGUAAUUUGUAGAGAGUGCUUCGGGGGAGACCGCGGUCUAAGUCCAUUGGAACAUGGCGUCCCAGAGGGUGAGAAUCCCGUAUGUGACCGCGGCUCGAGCCCAUGUGAAGCCUCUUCGACGAGUCGAGUUGUUUGGGAAUGCAGCUCUAAAUGGGUGGUAAAUUUCAUCUAAAGCUAAAUACUGGCUGGAGACCGAUAGCGCACAAGUAGAGUGAUCGAAAGAUGAAAAGCACUUUGGAAAGAGGGUUAAACAGUACGUGAAAUUGUUGAAAGGGAAGCGCUUGCAACCAGACCUGCCCGUAGGCGAUCAACCGCUGUUCUCAGCGGUGCACUCGUUCUGCGAUCAGGCCAGCAUCGGUUCGGGCGGUCGGAUAAAGGCCUUGGGAAUGUAGCUUCCCUUCGGGGGAGUCUUAUAGCCCUCGGUGCAAUGCGGCCAGCCGGGACCGAGGACCGCGCUUCGGCUAGGAUGCUGGCGUAAUGGUUGUAAGCGACCC